rnacentral:rRNA from 1 species
UACGUAGGGGGCAAGCGUUGUCCGGAUUUAUUGGGCGUAAAGAGCUCGUAGGUGGUUCGGUAAGUCGGAUGUGAAAUCUCCAGGCUCAACCUGGAGGGGUCAUUCGAUACUGCCGUGACUAGAGUUUGGUAGGGGAGUGUGGAAUUCCUGGUGGAGCGGUGAAAUGCGCAGAUAUCAGGAGGAACACCCGUAGCGAAGGCGGCACUCUGGGCCGAUACUGACACUGAGGAGCGAAAGCGUGGGGAGCGAACAGG